rnacentral:rRNA from 1 species
AACGAACGCUGGCGGCAGGCUUAACACAUGCAAGUCGAACGGGUGUAGCAAUACAUCAGUGGCAGACGGGUGAGUAACACGUGGGAACCUUCCUCGUUGUACGGGACAACUCAGGGAAACUUGAGCUAAUACCGUAUACGUCCGAGAGGAGAAAGAUUUAUCGCAAUGAGAAGGGCCCGCGUCGGAUUAGCUAGUUGGUGGGGUAACGGCCUCCCAAGGCUACGAUCCGUAGCUGAUCUGAGAGGAUGAUCAGCCACACUGGGAUUGAGACACCGCCCGGAAUCAUACGGGAGGACGCAGUGCGGUAUCUUGGACAAUGGGGGCAAGCCUGAGCGAGCCAUGCCGCGUGAGUGAAGAAGGCCUUAGUGUUGUAAAGCUCUUUUGCCAGGCACGAUAAUGACGUUACCUCGAGAAUAAGCCCCGACAAACUUCGUGCCAGCCGCCGCCGUAA